GGAAACUACAAGAAAUUAUGGAGAAAUUAAUGCUAAAAUGACAAAAUAGGCUAAACGUUUGUCCUCACGGGUGCCUUAAAAAUAGUAAAAAUAUUCUAUUUAUGGUGGGCUGAAAAAAUUGGAUAAAAUUGUCCCUGCAGGGUCAGUGCGGACCGCACAAUUAUGACUGCGGCCGCGCUGCUGUUUGACUUCCAUUUUCAUGCUCUCUGAAGUAUUUGACGCGGACCGCGUGAAGGUGUGGCGUGGCCGCGUGGUCUGACACGGACCGCGUGGCUUGCAAUUGCCCAAAUCUCCAGCUCUCUGAUUCUCUUGGCGCGGCCCCCAUGACUCAAUGGCGCGGCCGUGUGAGCUGAACGCAUGCUACAUAAAUCCAACUGCGGCCUCGUGGUGAGGGCCAUGAUUAUGCACUUCUCUGGAUCCCCUAGUGAGGCCGCAUGCAGAAUUGUGCGGCCCGCACUAGGCUCCUUUUGCCACCACUUCACUUGGCCUUUGAUAGUUGUGCAGAUUUCACUCUGUUUUUAGCCGAUCUUUGACAUUUCGUCACUUUGUCGCUCAAACCUGCUAUCAAGCACAACCUGUGAGCAUUUUGGGUAUAUUUUGUUGUAAAUUAUACUCAAAGCAUAUGCAAAUAAGGGCAUAAAACACAUUAAAAUCCUACUUAUCAGUUACAUAAAUGCGCGCCUGAGUUUAAGAAGGUAGAUUUUAAAUAGCACGCCUAAAACAACUAUGCACUUUCAAGUUUGCGAGGGCCAUGGAAAAAUUCAACUAAUGGCAUACCUCGAUUCUAAAUUCAAAGGAUUGCAUUCAACUAAAACAAACUAUGAAUGUUCAUAUUUAAAAUUAAUUAGGUAUUACAACGACGCUACAAAAAUCGUAUCCAAAGUUAUGAUGAUUCACCUAUGCGUUUAAAAGUUUAUCUACCCACGUGUUAAUAUCUUAAAACAUACUCCAAUCAAUUAUAUAUACACGUACAUACAAAGAAUAAAGCAACAGAUAUCUCUUUUCUAAGGAUAUAAAUGAAACCUCAUGGCUUUCGCAGUAAAACAAGUAACAGACCUAAAUAUAACUUAAUUCAAUAUGUGAAUUAUAUGUACCAUCCAUCUUCUUUCUUUUUCUUUGCACCUAAUCCCAGCAGCCCCUUUGCAUUUUUGUUUCAAUUUCCUUAAGAAUGAAAUUAAUAUGAAUUUUCCAGCCUUAAUCACCAUUGAAUCUAGCCAUGCGAUCUCAUUACAAAAUCAAGCAAUUUCAAUUCAAAACAUCACAAGUUCAAAUUAAUUUAUCACUCAAAUAUUACAUAGCCAGAAUCAAGGAAUAUAAUAUAGGAUAGAAAUAAACCUUGAACGACACUUUAAUUAACCUUUGCCCAGAUGUGCGAACAUUUAGAAAAACACAGCGACAAACAACAAAUCGAAACCCACCCGAAUGCAGAAAUCGAACGACAACCUCACGUAAAUGGUGUAAAACUCAGAGAUGGCAGUGUGUUUAGGUUGGUGCGGGGAUCACGAGCGGAUUCCUAAUGACCGCUCUUCCUCUCGUCACUCUUUUCUCUAUGUCCAGAUGCGUACCGGUGGCAACGAUGGCUGCUGUAGCUGGGAGGGGUCUUAAGGUGUAUUUUCCGGCUGAAAAAUAGGAAGAAGAAGAAGCGACUAUGGGUGGCUAAGGUUCUGGUUCGAUUUCUGGCGUGGUGACAACGAUGAUGUUCAAAGGGGGCAGGGGUCGUGUAGUUGGUUUAUGCUGCUGAAAAAGAUGAGUAACGGGGUCGUUUCCUUGUUGAAAAGUUGCGCAAUUUUUUAUUUUUAUUUUCAGGCGUGUUUUCUUUUGUAUCCCCUUAGCCGAUAGGUCUUAGUCCUAUUAAAUAGAUCUAGAUUUAUAUUUUGUGUAUUUUAUCAAUUAG
rnacentral:lncRNA from 1 species